AGUAAGGAAUAUUGCGCAAUGGGCGACAGCCUGACGCAGCGACGCCGCGUGGGGGAUGAAGGUCUUCGGAUUGUAAACCCCUUUCGGCAGGGAAGAUGGAACGGGUAACCGUUCGGACGGUACCUGCAGAAGCAGCCACGGCUAACUUCGUGCCAGCAGCCGCGGUAAUACGAAGGUGGCAAGCGUUGUUCGGAUUUACUGGGCGUACAGGGAGCGUAGGCGGUUGGGUAAGCCCUCCGUGAAAUCUCCGGGCCUAACCCGGAAAGUGCGGAGGGGACUGCUCGGCUAGAGGAUGGGAGAGGAGCGCGGAAUUCCCGGUGUAGCGGUGAAAUGCGUAGAGAUCGGGAGGAAGGCCGGUGGCGAAGGCGGCGCUCUGGAACAUUUCUGACGCUGAGGCUCGAAAGCGUGGGGAGCAAA
rnacentral:rRNA from 1 species